CUGGUUUCCAUUCUCUCUCCAUCGUGUUUUCUUACAUUGAUGAGAUCUGACGAGAUCUACGGUUUCCAUUCUCCAUCCAUCAGGGUUCCUUCCAUUGUCGGCAUAGUUUACCGAAAAUAGUUUAAGAAGAACAUAAGGUUUGCGAAUUUCUUUUGAAAUCAAGCGUUCUCUCUCUCUCUCCGCAAGGUUUCAAUACAUUGACUCGAUCGAUAUCUAAGGUUAUACUUGCCGGCAUAAUAUAUGAGAACAAGUUGAGGAAGAACACAAGAGUGAGAAUAUGGACGUCGUGGAUCUAGUCGAUUUGAAGAUAGGGGUGGAUGAUGUGGGAUCAAUUGACAAAUAUGUAGAGGGUGUUGCAUCUAAUGUGCCGAUGAAUUGGAUGUUGUUUGAAUAUGUAGAUGACAUGUUUGAAUAUUACAAGGCCUAUGGACAAGUUAAGUGCUUUUUUGUUAAUAGGAGAUUCCUAAGUUGACAUCUCAAACAUUUGUUUCUGACUUUUUAAAAAUUGUCACUGCUUUUUU